rnacentral:rRNA from 1 species
UAAUUGAAGAGUUUGAUCAUGGCUCAGAUUGAACGCUGGCGGCAGGCCUAACACAUGCAAGUCGGGCGGUAACAGGGGGAAGCUUGCUUCUCUGCUGACGAGCGGCGGACGGGUGAGUAAUGUAUGGGGAUCUGCCUGAUGGAGGGGGAUAACUACUGGAAACGGUAGCUAAUACCGCAUAAUGUCUUCGGACCAAAGCGGGGGACCUCAGGGCCUCGCGCCAUCAGAUGAACCCAUAUGGGAUUAGCUAGUAGGU